UCUAUUUCUGACAUUUGUUUUGUAUUUAAAAGAAAUGUUAAAACAUUUCCAUAAAUGCUGAAAAUGACUGUGGCAUCUAGAUAUAAUAUUCUAGAGGCCCUCACCAAUUCCCAACAUUUUUGGAGCCAUUAAAAUAUUUAUAUAAUUUAAAUAGCUCCAAAUCAAAUAUUUAGGCAUUGAUUCAAAAAUCCAAAAUGUGUAGUAAAAAUGUGCAUCACCUCUGGUUGUUGUUCCCAACAUUAUCCAAAGAGCAUGAACAUUUUUUAAAAGCAUUUUGGGUUCAUUGAAAAUCCACUUUAAAGUUGAACCUAUUUGAAUUUGCUUUGGUGCUAGGGUUUGAAACAUCCCCAUUUCGAUUUCAUUUGAAAUUUAAACAUGGUGCACAAAGCAAGCCUAGGAUCAUACCAGAACUAGGGAUGUGACAGCUCGCCCCCACUCGAAAAAAUCUCGUCCCGAGAUUCAGGAGUUGGCGGAAAGAAAGCGGGGUACUCAAGUCGAAGACGAUCUUCUCGCUCCCAAGUAGCUUCUCUCUCGGAAUGAUCGGACCAUAGAACCUUGAGAAAUUUGAUGUUAUGACAUCGAGUGACACGCUCUACUUGAUCCAGAAUGCGAACGGGGUACUCUCGAUAAGUGAGGUUAUCUUGGAGAUCAAGCGUUUUGUGGUCCACUCCGCGGAUGGGAUCCGAGAAGCAACGCCUGAGUUGAGAGACGUGGAAGACAUCAUGAACUCGAGAAAGAUGUGGGGGUAGUUCCAACUGGUAGGCAACCUCUCCUCGUUUAGCGAGAAUGCGAAAAGGACCGAUGUAACAAGGAGCCAACUUGCCCUUGAUACCGAAACGAUGGGUACCCUUCAAAGGAGUAACCCGAAGGUAAGCCUUGUCGCCAACUUCAUAAGCCACUUCCUUAUGACGACGGUCAUACUGGCUCUUUUGACGAGAUUGGGCUGUUUUCAAAUUCUCACGAAUGAUGCGAACUUGCUCUUCUGCCUCCUGGAUCAUAUCCGGUCCAAAGAAUUGUCUUUCGCUGGUUUCUGGCCAGUUCAAAGGUGUUCGACAUCUUCAUCCAUAUAGGAUCUCGAAGGGUGCUUUCUUAAGACUGCAUUGGUAGCUAUUGUUAUAAGCAAACUCGGCAAAGGGAAGACAUUUCUCCCAAUCCAUACCGAAUGAGAUAACGCAAGCUCUAAGCAUGUCUUCGAGAAUUUGGUUGACCCUUUCCACCUGACCACUUGAUUGAGGGUGGAAAGCGGUACUGAAGGAAAGAUGGGUGCCCAUGGCGUUUGGAAACUUUCCCAGAAAUGAGAGGUGAAAAGACUGCCACGGUCUGAAUUGAUCUCUAGUGGAACACCAUGGAGUGACACUAUUCGGGAGAUAUAUAAGUCAGCGAGCUAACUAGCAGUGAUACUCUCUCGAACAGGUAGGAAGUGAGCCACUUUGGAGAGACGAUCAAUGACUACGAAGAUAGCAUUAUUUCCUUUCUUGGUCCUAGGAAAGCCGGUGAUGAAGCCCAUACAAACUUUGUCCCAUUUCCACUCAGGAAUAGCUAAAGGUUGAAGGGUGCCAGCAGGUCUUUGAUGCUCUGCCUUAACGCGACGACAAACGUCACAGUUGGCAAUAUACUAAGCGAUUUCUCUCUUCAUCCUAGUCCACCAAAACCUCUGGCGUAGGUCCUGAUACAUCUUUGUACUACCGGGAUGAAUCGUGAGAGGGGAUUCAUGGGCCUCCUUAAGGAUCAGUUGCUGCAUCUGUUGACAUUUGGGAACCACCAAACGGUUACCAAAGUAAACAACACCUCGUUCAUCCAUAGAGAAACAGCCAGCAACUCCCUUGGAAAUAUUCUUCUUGAUCCAGGAGAUUCCCGUAUCAUGCUUCUGAGCCUCUAUGAUCUGAUCCGUAAGGGUAGGUUUCGCCACCAAGGUAGAAAGGAAACCCUGAGGAGCUAUGUGAAGGUUAAGCUUACAGAAUUCCUCAUGGAGGGGUGGUUGACAUUGUUGCAACAUGAGGUUAUUGCAAUAGUAUUUACGACUUAAAGCAUCAGCCAUGACAUUGGCUUUGCCUGGGGUGUAGGUGAUUCCUAAGUCAUAAUCCGAGAUCAACUCCAACCAAUGUCUCUGUCUGAGAUUCAGAUCCGGUUGGGUGAAGAUAUACUUGAGACUCUGAUGGUCAGUGUAGAUUUCGCAACGGUUACCAAGAAGGUAAUGUCGCCAAGUCUUGAGUGCAUAGACUACGACUGCAAGCUCCAGAUCAUGUGUAGGAUAAUUUUCCUCAUGUGGAUGCAACUGUCGAGAUGCAUAGGCAAUCACAUGACGAUCCUGCAUAAGAAUGCAACCUAGUCCUUGACGCGAAGCAUCGCAAUAGAUAACAAAGUCUUUAGUGAAAUCCGGUGGCACGAGUAUGGGCGCAGAAGUCAGGCGUCUUUUCAGUUCGUGAAAACUGUGCUCACACUGUUGGGUCCACUCAAACCUUUUAUCUUUCUUGAGAAGCUCCGUGAGGGGUUUGGCCACUUUGGAGAAGUCUUCAACGAAACGGCGACAAUAACUAGCUAGACCAAGGAAACUCCUAACUUGUUUGACUAUUUCAGGUGGAGUCCAAUCGAGAACGGCUUUGACUCUCUCGGGAUUUAUAGCAAUGCCCUUACCAGAGAUCUUGUGGCCUAGAUAGGUCACUUCUGGCAACCAAAAUUCACACUUGGAGAACUUGGCAUAAAGGCGAUGCUCUCUGAGUUUUUCUAACACAAGCCUAAGAUGUUCGGCAUGCUCUUCCUCGUUCUUCGAGUAAAUAAGAAUAUCAUCGAGAUAAACCACGACGAACUUAUCUAAGUACUCCAUAAAGAUCGAGUUCAUCAAGCCGGAGAAAGUAGCUGGAGCAUUGGUUAGGCCGAAAGACAUCACGGUGUACUCGUAUUGACCAUAACGAGUGACAAAGGCCGUUUUGGGGAUGUCCCCGUUUCUGAUUUUGAUUUGGUGGUAGCCUAACCUCAAAUCCAUCUUGGAAAAGACUGAGGAUCCAGCGAGCUGAUCAUACAGGUCGUUGAUCCUCGGGAGCGGAUACUUGUUCUUUAUCGUGACCAAAUUAACGGGACGAUAAUCUACAACCAUUCAAUCCGUACCAUCCUUCUUCUUGACGAAGAGGACAGGACAAGCCCAAGGAGAAGAACUGGGACAGCUGAAACCCUUUUGCAAGGACUCAUCAAGUUAUUUCUUAAGCUCGGCUAACUCCAAAGGUGCCAUCUUGUAUGGUCUCCUAGAGAUUGGAACAGUUCCUGGGAUAAGAUCUAUGACAAACUCUACAUCUCUGUCAGGUGGGACACCUGGCAGUUCUUCUGGAAAGACAUCCGGGAAGUCACGGACUACCGGAAUAUCUUCAAGGUCUGGAAGAGGGCUGGCAUUAAGCGAAUAGAGUUGGCGCCUUGCAACUCUGGUGGAGACAGUGACUAUUUUGCCAGAUGGAUGUGUAAGUUGAACAGAUCUAGUGUAACAAUCGAUCUUGGCAUGAUGAGCUGUCAUCCAGUCCAUACCCAAGAUGAUGUUAAUAUCUGAGGACCUGAGAGAUAUCAAAGGAGCAAGGAAUACCAGUCUGUCAACAAGGAUUUCAUUACCAUGGCUUACCUUGGAGGUUUGCCAUUUGGAACCAGGAGUCUGGAUUAUUAGUGGAGUUGGCAUAUCACAAAAUGACAUGUCGUGCAACCGAGCAUAACCUUCGGAUACGAAGGAGUGGGAUGCUCCAGUAUUGAACAGAACUGAAGCUGGGUGACAAUUGACAAGAAGUGUACCCAGUACGACAUCGGGAUCAUCUUGAACUUCUGAAGCUGAGGCAUGGUGCACACAUGCUCAUUCAAUGGAGGCUGGCUUGGUACUAAUCAUCUUGACUGAUGUCUUUUCACGGCCAGCAGACCUCUCAGACUGGAGUGGAGUAUAACUGGACUGAGGGCAGUCAUGUGCGUAGUGUCCUGGUUCUCCGCAGGUAAAGCAAGUUCCUGGGGUAGGACGCGGACCUACAUUGGCAAGUGGUCCACUAAUAGGCCUGGGUGGAGCAUGUUGCUGAGUUGGGUGAGGCGCUACAUCGGAUGGCCUCGGUGCAUAUCCAGGUGGAAGAGCUGAGUUCGGAAUCCAAAUCCGUCGCUUCUGAGAGCCAGAGCGGAAGGAAGAACCCAGAUCACGGUUGUGCUUACGAGACUCCUCGUAAGUGAAUUGAGCUGUCUCUGCAUUAAUGGCCUUAUUCACAAGAGCCUGGAAAGUAUCACAAUGAUGCAGGUGGAGAUCACGACGCAACUUAGGGUUGAGACCCUUCCGGAACCUAGCCUGUUUCUUAGCGUCCGUGGACACUUCUUCUGUAGCAUAGCGGGUGAGGUUUCCAAACUCCCUACUGUAAGCAUCAACAGGCAGCUUACCCUGGGUAAAACUACAGAACUCUUCCCUCUUGCGGUCAAUGAGAGCCUGAGGAAUGUGGUGCUCACGAAAAGCCUCGGUGAAAUCCCUCCAGCUAGGAAUCUGACCAGCUGGAAGCAUAGCCUCAUAGCUCUGCCACCAAAUACUAGCAGGACCUUCCAGGUGAUAGGUAGCAUAGGUGACCUUGUCACUAUCAGCGACGUUCGUAGAAUGCAACUUGUGAGUGAUGCUUCGGAGCCAGUCAUCCGCAUCGAGUGGCUCAAUGGAAUGAUGGAAGGUGGGUGGUUUCAGACCAAUGAAGUUGGUGAUGGAAAUCAACUUCUUACGCUGAUGUGCGGUGUUCUGCUCAAUCUGUGCCAGCAAGCGGUUAGUCUCACGCUUGUUCCUCUUGGAUGCUAACAAGAACUCUGCCAUCAAAGGCUGAUCAGGAGGAUCCUCAUCCCUACCAUAUCCGUGGUUCUUGCUAUGAGCAACUGAACCUCGGUUAGCAGACGACAUCCUGGCAUAGAAACCAGGGAAACAAGGAUGGAACUAGCAUCGACAUAGGGAUGCGGAAUGUAAUGCAAAAGCAUUGGAUACUCAUGAAAUCCUGGGACAAUUUCGGCAGCAUAACGGUUGUAAAUGCUCAAAAGGAUUUUGAGACAUUCAUCAAAGGAAUAGCAUGAUCAAUCAGCAUCAUAAUUUCAAGGUUCUAGGUCAACUGAUGGCACACGGAAGUAGCGGAACUGUAAGGAGACACAACCCAACAAUCCUAAGACUUUACGGUUUAGUAACACGUCAUCCUGAAAGAUAGAGGAGAAGCCUAGGCCUUAACCCUCGUUGAAAAGAAGAGGCUACCUCAGAAAGAAUGACAUGAGGUAAAGGAGUAAAAAGAGCCUUACGUUCCCUUCCACAAUCAAUUCCCUUAUAUAACUAAAGCAUUUCUAGACUCAACUUCGACCAGUUUGGCUCGAUAAUCCUACAGUCAGUCAAGCUCUGAUACCAACGCUGUCGGGACCCCAGUCCCAAGUCACACCGAUCUAGCAUCUAACACUUCAUAUCACUUUGCGGCCUCACACACGGUAUUCCCACGGGUGCCACCUUACCUGGCCUGGGACCAUUUGCGCCUUUUGGCUCACGUAUAUGAUAGUGUCGCUAGCAUCCAUAUGACAGAGAACCCGGGCCGACAUGACUAGUUGUGAACCCAAAGUAGCAUUAACUUACAGGGACAGGCAUACAUGAAUCAACCUCGAGCAUGUCGGUCAACAGCGUAUGAAUCCGGGCUGUAGCACUGGGCUUACAGGACUCCGGGAACCCGGGAUGUAGCAGGCUAGACAGGACUCCGGAUGUCACCGCGUGACAUUUCCCCAAAGGGACAGACACAGGGACGAAGUGAAUCACAUGCCGGCCAGUCAAGUGUUCCGGAGCAGUAGUGCUGGGCUGGCAGGACUCCGGUGAACCGGGCUGUAGCGGACUACUAUGGCACAUGGAAGCACAAGACUACAUUUCCCCAUAAGAGAGGCUAUCAGAGGUAAACAACUAGGUUGUCGGAUCCCACACAUAGCAAUACAUGUUACACGUACGCAUAACAUGCAAGUAUGUGCUGUACAUCAUGGCAUCACAACAUAACUCAAACUCAUAUAGAUAAAGGCCCAGAAGAGCCACAUAGCUUUCAAUACAAACAGGGGUCUCAUGACCCAUCAUUCAGAGCAUACAAGCAACGGAAGCAUUACAUGUCUGAGUACAGAAAACUACAAAAGGAAAAUACUAAGAAGCCUGACUAAAAACGACCCUCCCAAGGGUACAAGAUCGUACCUGGGAUACAGGCUACUCGUCGAAGUCACUAGGUAACCAACUGCAAAACAUAAAUAAGCAAACGUGAGUACAAAGGUACUCAGCAAGUCUUACUUCAGAACUAUCUACAUAUGCAACAUUAUCAACAAAGGGGGUGGUGGAUUUUAACAGCAGCAAGCCAGCUUUGACUCAAUGGCUAAUCUAUACUACGAGUAUCAGAAACUUCUUUCAGGUGAGAAGACGCACACGAGUCCACAUAUUCACCAUAUCAAUACCCACUAUGGAUCCGUUCCCGUCUCCCUACGAAAAGGCCAUCCAUAGAACUCACGCUUAUCUUGCGGAUUUUAGAGUAUCCACUUCAAGUUGUCUAUGUACUACAUAAGUCCUCCAAGUUUCCAUAUCCGAGGAAAACGGCUAUUCGAAUAGAUAAUAUUGACCCUGCAGGGGUGUACUUCUUCACACACGCUCUCGCCACUUAUAGCCCUGUACACGUUAUGUACCUCGGCAUCCUUCAAGCGGAAGCCGGGCGAGGGUGUCGGCCAUGACCUGACUAACCACACAAGUCUCUCGUCUAGGUUUAUCGCCUAUUCGGGUUCCAUCCGCAAGGAGAUCCGGCCGGGGUGUCGCUCGCGGCCCCAAACGAUGUGUGCAGGGUUCCCAAGCCCACCAUCCGGGUGCCACUUGGUACACCGUGCCACAGUGCCUAGUCUGUCCCAAGCCUGUCUCGUCGGACACCACCUGGUAGACAAGUAGCACUACCUACAAAUGCCAGAAACUACUUGCAACUCCUGGACAGAGAUCAAGUGGAUUAAUAAGCCGAGAGGGGCUGGAUAACUGGAACCCAAUGUGUGGUAGUAACUGGACUUGGACAACAUACACAGAACUCAGUGCUUAAGGACGGUUCCAAUGAGACAACCCACCAAGUACUCCUACAUGGCCUCUCAUCGCUACCUUUACCAAAACGUGUUCACACACUUAGCCUUUACCGGUAGGACAUGUUCACCACUCCGAUUCAUUCCCGAUGAAUCAGACCUGACACAACUCUAAGCAUAGCUGGCAUAAAGAAAACAAGCAUGGAUGAGCAGGCACAUCAAGGCUCAAGCAACUCCUACUCAUGCUAGUGGGUUUCAACUAUUUACUGUGGCAAUGACAGGUCAUGCAGAGGAAUGGGUUCAGCUACCGCAGCAAAAAGUAGCAGUUUGAAUCGUUGUUGUCCUAAUGCAGUAAAAGGAGCAGGAGCGAGAGAGUGGGAUUUUAUCGAGAUGCUCAAGGGGGUUUGCUUGCCUGAUAGAUCGACGAAGAAGCACUGCUCCUCAGACAGGUACCCGGGACACCUUUUGGAGCAGAACCUAUCGAGAGGGAACGGUGCCGGCAAUCAAUAAACAACCAUAUGCAACAGUAUGAUGCAUGAAGAUGACAUUUCAAAGAUGCUAUGAUUUUCCCUAAUGCAUGUAGCAUUAAUUUGGUUGAAGUCCAUAUGAACCAAGGAUUCAUAUGCAAAUCCCAAAUUAAUUAUAUAACAUGCCAUUAUUACGUUUUCACUUAUACAGCAAGUAUAAGUUUGUUUUUCAUGCAUGAAACUAGCAUAAAUGGAUUCCCUGCAUUUUUCUAAUAAUUUUUCAUAUAUAAUUUAUUUGAUUUGGAGUUACGGUUGAAUUACUAUGAUUUUUAGAAGUUUUAACUAUUUUCUGGAAUUUCCUAAUUUAAAUUAAUUCCAGAAAUCAAUUAUUGCGUCAGCUCUAUGUCAGCAUGACGUAAGCGAGUCAACGAGCCUGACCAGGUCAAAUCUGACCAGUGGGUCCCACUGGUCAGUGACCCAGUCAACUAACUAAGUUAGUUAGUCCUAACUAACUGGCAGGGCCCACCAGUCAGUGACUGUAGUAGCUAACCUAGUUAGUUAAUUAGCGCUAACUAUAGUAAUUAGUCGGGCAGGGCCCGCAAGUCAGUGAGAGAGAGGGGGGGUCAAACUGGGCUGUGGGGUCAACCCACGCCGGUCAAAGGUCAGCGGUCGCCGGCGGUGAGCCGCCGGCGAGUCCGAACGCGGUGGAGCGCGUCGGGAUCGCGCUACAGACCACCGUUUGGAGCGUGGUUGGGUCCUAUGGAGAGCUGGGGCUGAGCCGCGUGUGUGGGUGGUGGAGCUGGACCAAAUGGUCGCCGGAAUCAACGCCGGCGAUGAGGUUUGUGGCGGCCGUGGUUCGGCCAUCGAUGAAAACGGAGCUACGGAGCACUAGGGGAGGAGAUGGUGAGUGCAUCGUGCUCCUAUGGUUGCGCUGAGCACGCUGAUGAGCUCGGACGCGGGUGGCAGCAGCUGUGGCCGCGGCGGCGCCAUGGACGGCGGCGGUGAGCUUCGGGCUCGACGGAUACAACGACUACAGUGGCCGUACAGGGAAAAGGAGAGGGGGAAUCGGUUCAGGGGCUCACGGGGAUCACGCAGGGAACGUCAGCGAGCUCGGGGAGGGGCCGGAGCAAGCCAGACAGCGAUGGAGAUCUCCGGCGUCGGAAGGUUGAAGACGACGGCGUGGAGGCGCUCGGGGGCGUCCGGCGCUGCGUGGCCUGGCGGAGAGGACUAGGGCGACGAGGCAGACCUCGUGGGCACGUCGGAGAGGCGAUUGGAAGGCGGUGGUCGCGGUGGCGCACGGCAGUGCUCUCCGAUGCGCUCGGGACAGAGGGGGAUAGCGAGACAGAGGAGAGGAGAGGAGCUCGGGGAGAAUGGAGAGAGACCAGGGGGCUCGGUGGAGCUCUCGGGGGUGGACAGUGCCAAGGAGGGAGAGGAGGCAGCAAGCAGCUGCCUGGCGGGCAUGCACGCUCGCCGUGCUCCCUUUCAUCGCUGCCUCCUGGCGAGGGAGACGACUGGCAAUGGCCAGUUGGGCUGGGCCACUGCUGGGCCGUGGUGGGGCGCCAGGUAAGCGUCAGGUAAGUGUUUUCCUUCUUCUAUUUUCUUUUUCUAUUUCUGACAUUUGUUUUGUAUUUAAAAGAAAUGUUAAAACAUUUCCAUAAAUGCUGAAAAUAACUGUGGCAUCUAGAUAUAAUAUUCUAGAGGCCCUCACCAAUUCUCAACAUUUUUGAAGCCAUUAAAAUAUUUAUAUAAUUUAAAUAGCUCCAAAUCAAAUAUUUAGGCAUUGAUUCAAAAAUCCAAAAUGUAUUGUAAAAAUGUGCAUCACCUCUGGUUGUUGUUCCCAACAUUAUCCAAAGAGCAUGAACAUUUUUGAAAAGCAUUUUGGGUUCAUUGAAAAUCCACUUUAAAGUUGAACCUAUUUGAAUUUGCUUUGGUGCUAGGGUUUGAAACAUCCCCAUUUCGAUUUCAUUUGAAAUUUAAACAUGAUGCACAAAGCAAGCCUAGGA
rnacentral:lncRNA from 1 species